GACGAACGCUGGCGGCGUGCUUAACACGUGCAAGUCGAACGGAAAGGCCCUGCUUUUGUGGGGUGCUCGAGUGGCGAACGGGUGAGUAACACGUGAGUAACCUGCCCUUGACUUUGGGAUAACUUCAGGAAACUGGGGCUAAUACCGGAUAGGAGCUCCUGCUGCAUGGUGGGGGUUGGAAAGUUUCGGCGGUUGGGGAUGGACUCGCGGCUUAUCAGCUUGUUGGUGGGGUAGUGGCUUACCAAGGCUUGGACGGGUAGCCGGCCUGAGAGGGUGACCGGCCACAUGGGGACUGAGAUACGGCCCAGACUCCUACGGGAGGCAGCAGUGGGGAAUAUUGCACAAUGGGCGGAAGCCUGAUGCAGCAACGCCGCGUGCGGGAUGACGGCCUUCGGGUGGUGAACCGCUUUCGCCUGUGACGAAGCGGGAGUGACGGUAAUGGGUAAAGAAGCACCGGCUAACUACGUG
rnacentral:rRNA from 1 species